GCAAGCCUUGACCCACAAGCUUACACCUCCAUUUUCUAGUUCAUUUGAUGAGGAACAACAGCAUCUUGAAGAUGAACAAGAGAGGGUUCAAAAUAUUAUAUCAGGAAGAGAAUUUGAAAAUAAAUUAACGUAUACCACAUCUUAUGGAGAGAUGCCAGUUUCUGUUUCUGCAGCAGUAUACAUGAGGAUGGAUCAAUUGCAUAAAGGGGAGUACAUAGCCAACCUGCAAGAUAACCGCACAAUGAUUUUGGUCAGUAAAGGGGCUGAGAUAAUCCGUUUGAAAAAGGAGAAGAUUGAGGAAUUUUCCGAUGAUACCACAAGAGCAAAGUUAAGCAAUCUGACAACUAAAUAUCCCAGUGAUGAUGAGCUGUGCCAAGUCUUUCUCCGGCAUAAUUCCUGGGAAAUGUUUAAGAAAGAUCUAGUGAACCAUGUGAUGCAGCCCAAGCUCAUAAAGAUGGUCUAUCCUCCACACCCGUGCCCCACGGAUGAAACCUAUGCUUCGUGGUGCAUGAAUGAAUCAGGCAUCUUGGACCUCACUCUCCUGCGCAGCGCAAAACAACUUCCCCCAAGGCAAUGCAGAUACGUUCCCACCCUCUUUGGCCGUGACAAGGAGAGCCUGCCGGUGAUUCAACCCAAAUGGAUGCAGCCGAAACUGAUUCAUGGCAUCAAUGUCUUCCGUUCCAAUUUGGAUGGCGCAUUUUAGUGAGCUCCACAAGUUUUACAAGCUAUAGCAGCACAGAGACAUUUCUGAAAGGUCAGGGAGUCAUACUUGGUGAUUCAUACAAGUGUACAUAUAUACUUACUUUCAUUUAAUGCAAUUUUUGUUCCUUUUUCAGAAAGAGUUGUUAUGCUAUCCCCCCUCUCUCUCUUUAUGAUAGAUUUGUUUUGAAUUCU
rnacentral:lncRNA from 11 species